CAUGCCCCUAGAGGCUUUGCAAGCGCAGCUGCUGUGCUGUGCUUGCGUCAUUAGGCGGCAGAGAGAAACGGGCUAUGUCUACGCUCCGUGCCCUGAAAAGCAAACUGUGGGCACUUAGAAUGAUUAAUAGCCUGACAAG